AUUGAACGCUGGCGGCAUGCUUUACACAUGCAAGUCGAACGGUAACAGGCCGCAAGGUGCUGACGAGUGGCGAACGGGUGAGUAAUGCAUCGGAACGUGCCCAGUCGUGGGGGAUAACGCAGCGAAAGCUGUGCUAAUACCGCAUACGAUCUAUGGAUGAAAGCGGGGGACCGUAAGGCCUCGCGCGAUUGGAGCGGCCGAAGUCAGAUUAGGUAGUUGGUGGGGUAAAGGCUCACCAAGCCGACGAUCUGUAGCUGGUCUGAGAGGACGACCAGCCACACUGGGACUGAGACACGGCCCAGACUCCUACGGGAGGCAGCAGUGGGGAAUUUUGGACAAUGGGCGCAAGCCUGAUCCAGCAAUGCCGCGUGCAGGAAGAAGGCCUUCGGGUUGUAAACUGCUUUUGUACGGAACGAAACGGUCCUGGUUAAUACCCGGGGCUAAUGACGGUACCGUAAGAAUAAGCACCGGCUAACUACGUGCCAGCAGCCGCGGUAACAC
rnacentral:rRNA from 1 species